GAUGAAGAACGCAGCGAAAUGCGAUAAGUAAUGUGAAUUGCAGAAUUCCGUGAAUCAUCGAAUCUUUGAACGCACAUUGCGCCCCCUGGUAUUCCGGGGGGCAUGCCUGUCCGAGCGUCAUUGCAACCUUCAAGCGCGGCUUGUGUGUUGGGUCUCGUCCCCCGUGGACGGGCCCGAAAGGCAGUGGCGGCGUCCCGACAUGGUGCCCGAGCGUAUGGGAAUCCUCUUCCGCUCGAAUCGGCCCAUGCGGCGCUGGUCGUAACCAAAUUUUUUACCGGUUGACCUCGUAUCAGGUAGGGAUACCCGCUGAACUUAAGCAUAUCAAUAAGCGGAGGA
rnacentral:misc_RNA from 1 species